GGAGGAGGAGGAGGAGGAAGGACGAGGAGAAGAGGAAGGAGCGGGCACAGCGCUUUUAUCACCGGGGCUUAGUGCCGCCGGUGCCGGGAUGGAGGCAGGCAGAGCGCGGCUGGAGCCCGGCACCGGGCUCCUGUCAGGUUUAAGUCAAAUCCCAUUCAAUGAGUAACUCCAGAAUCUUUUUUUUUUUUGACCUUUUCUCUUUGAAAGAAGAACGUUUCCUUGAAUAAUUUCACCGUGCGAAUUGCCGAGUGGAUGGUGUUACUCCGCGUGGUGUGGGGUGGGCGGUUUAUGCGGUGCAGAAGCGGUUCCCUCUGCACGGGCACGCAGGGAGGGAGCAGAGGGUGUCAGAGCCGGUACCGCGCCCGGCACAGCCUUCCACAGCUGGAGGUGAAAUAGCCAUAAACUGUAGCAGGUAUUCUGGGCUCUCUGAGGGGCCAGCUGCUGAGGAGACCUCCUGUAUACAGUCAGUACACUUUGUCAGCCGGAUUUAUCAUUCUCCCCACUUCUCCCCACAUGACAGUAACUAGCAGAGACGGAGGCCGAAGGCCUUUCGAAGCUUGAAGAUCCUUGGCCCAGCUGCCGUAUGCCCAGCUGCACAGAAGAAAUGCUUGUGAAGACAAAGGUGAAAAAGAGGUGGCUAGGUGAGCACCUUCCUAGUCUUCUUGGUGUUUUUAAGUUGCGUUUAUGUCAGCUUCACCUCUUCUGAUCAAUUGAUUGCCCAUCUGGAAGAUGCUAAAGCAAUUCCCCUGUGAUGUUUGACUUUGUAUUAAAGGGAAGAACUGAUGAAGCACAGGAGGAAAGGAGCUAGAAGAGUGCAGGAUGAAACCUGUGAACACAAAUCUUAUAUGAAGCUAUGCUGAGGUCUCUUCCUAUCUUCCCAAAAGAUUGGGCAGGAACAGAUGGCAACUCCUGCUCUGCUUACGGGCCCUUUUCACCAUACUUAAAAGAGCCUGUAGCUGUGUACGAAAACAUAAGGAAGACAGAACAUAGUGGAAAAUCCUGAACUUUCAGCAUAAAAAGAAUAUAAAAAGUACAUGCAUACGGGACUCCUCAGUGUGCAGAUCUCACAGAAGUGGCUUGGGUCUUUGCUAUAAAGGAACAGCUAAACAGUAGGAACCAGUUCUUUCAAAUAUUUUUCAGCAGUCAUAGGUACUUCAGCUUUCAUUCCUUUCUUGUGUCAUGCAGCGUGGUUUUCUUAUGAUCUGUAAGGUGAAGAGACAGCUCAUUACAUCGAAGAACAAGCAGGCUUAAAGGGGAAUGUAGAUCCCAACAGAAACAAGAUCUCCAGCCAUCUCUCUUCGAUCUCAUAAUCAAUGGCAAGUGGAACAGCAUGGUACAAGUGCAAACCACUGCAGCAACCACAAAAGCAUGGCUGGGGGGGAUCAAAAUUGUGCAUGUAUGAUUAGAGUCACCACGCUGAAGGGGUAUGUCAAUAGGUCAGCAGCAGAACGGACGAAAAAAAAAAGGAAAGGCUUGAUUCCCUCAACGCCCUUUUUGGUUGGGCCUAUAGAAAACACCAGUCCAUUUACUACAAAGCUGCUUGUGGUAAUCAAAAAAGAGGAACUCUCGUGGUUGAAAAUGGUUUUUGAACUGUGAAGAUAAAAGUUCUCUUUUUUUAAGUAAACCGCAUCGUUUUUCUCUACAUAGAUCUGAUUUAAGUGAAUUGGGUGUAAAUCAUUGCUGAACCGAUGACAAAUAGCAUGUUAACUAUUUUACUCACAACUUCACUCACUUUUACUCUCUGUGCUCCAAACCUUUAAAAGUUUAGGAAUCGCAGCCUUCUGUGGAGGUAACUGAAUCAUCUGUUAAGUUACAGCUCAGUUCAGGUUCAGUUGCUGUAGUUCCUUUCUCACAGAGAUUUUGUAUGGUCUGUUUUAGGCAGAUAACAGUCUGGAAUAAAGAGGAUCUGGAAUCUGUGGUGGUUGUUCUUUUUUAUAUAUAUAUAUAUUGUAUUUAUAUCCUAUAAUUUGCAGACACAGAAGGACAUGAAGUAGCCACAGAUGUUGCAAAGUAGACAAUUAAUUCAUAAAGCCUUUGGUGACUCCUUAUGAAUAUGGAACUGUAGUGUCAGUAGGAAGAAUCCUCUCCCUUUGUGGGCUGGCUGGCAGAAGAGCGUCCUCCCUGCUAGAGUGAGCAGACUGAAGCCUGAGAACCAAUGCAGUAGGACAAUAAGUUCUUUCAUUUCUUGCACGAAUGCUGUCUUGGGUGCCAGCUUUUUCUUUCCCUGUAGUGCCAGUUACUCGUCUUUGUUUGCUGUAUCUUCUCUAGCCCUUGUUUUCAACCUCAGACUGUUUACUUGAGGAAUGCAAUUUGCACCCUUCUGUUUUGCUCAGCAGAGGCUAACAUUGAUUUUGCUUUGGAUGUAGAAUUGUAUUUUGAAUGUAUUGACAUAAGAUAAUGUGUUUUUUUUUUGUUUUGUUUUGAACUUUGAAAUCUGUUACAGGACUCUCUUCACAGGCUCCUCUACAAUUCCUUAAAGGCCUGAAGCGUUGGUCUGUACUACUCUCCUUUCCAGGACUCUGUGGAAGAGAGACCAAACAGGAAUGUGAGGCGUCUUCUCUCUCCUCUUAAUACUUCUUUAUUAUGCAAGUAUGUUGAUCAUUGUCUGCAGUAAGAGUGGAACAAUUCUGUAGCUGCUCUGCAAGUUAGAAGAAAACGUUUUCUUUCCCCAGUCCAGCUAUCAUCAUAGCUCAUCUUCAAAAUUGUAUACCACAGGGUUGAUUGAAACACUCUUUUUAUUUUUCUUGCCUAGCUUAUUCCUUAGUGUGAUUCCUGAGUUUUACACCCAGCAAUAAACAUGAGCGGAGUA